CACCGGUGGCGAAGGCGGGUUUCUGGCCGAUGAUUGACGCUGAGGUGCGAAGGUGUGGGGAGCAAACAGGAUUAGAUACCCUGGUAGUCCACACAGUAAACGAUGUACACUAGGUGUUGGGGCAAGAGCUUCAGUGCCGGCGCAAACGCAAUAAGUGUACCGCCUGGGGAGUAUGCCCGCAAGGGU
rnacentral:rRNA from 1 species